AAAAGUCGUAACAAGGUUUCCGUAGGUGAACCUGCGGAAGGAUCAUUAUCGUACAACUGAGGCGCGAGGGCUGUCGCUGACUUUUCGUCGUGCACGCCCGAGCGCUCUCAUACAUCCACCUCACCCCUAUGUGCACCACCGCGUGGGUCCCCUUUCGGGGGGGCUCGCGUUUUCACACACAAACUCGAUACAGUGUAGAAUGUUCUUCUUUGCGAUCACACGCAAUCAAUACAACUUUCAACAACGGAUCUCUUGGCUCUCGCAUCGAUGAAGAACGCAGCGAAAUGCGAUACGUAAUGUGAAUUGCAGAAUUCAGUGAAUCAUCGAAUCUUUGAACGCACCUUGCGCCCCUUGGCAUUCCGAGGGGCACACCCGUUUGAGUGUCGUGAAAUUCUCAAAACCUUUUUUCUCGAAAAGGAUUUUGGACUUGGAGGCCUUUUGCUGGUUUCACAUCGAAGCGAGCUCCUCCUAAAUGGAUUAGUGGGGUCUGCUUUGCCGAUCCUUGACGUGAUAAGAUGUUUCUACGUCUUGGGUUUGGCACUGUCACCCGCUUCUAACCGUCUCAUCGACAAUGAUGGCGUUCCGGUCACCACCGUUUCAUCGGUGGGAGGCUUGACCCACCAAAAAAACCUUGACCUCAAAUCGGGUGAGACUACCCGCUGAACUUAAGCAUAUCAAUAAGCGGAGGA
rnacentral:rRNA from 1 species